rnacentral:rRNA from 1 species
CCUACGGGAGGCAGCAGUGAGGAAUAUUGGUCAAUGGACGAGAGUCUGAACCAGCCAAGUCGCGUGAAGGAAGAAGGUUCUAUGGAUUGUAAACUUCUUUUAUAAGGGAAUAAAAAAGAGUACGUGUACUCUAUUGUAUGUACUUUAUGAAUAAGGAUCGGCUAACUCCGUGCCAGCAGCCGCGGUAAUACGGAGGAUCCAAGCGUUAUCCAGAUUUAUUGGGUUUAAAGGGUGCGUAGGCGGACCUGAAAGUCAGUGGUGAAAGUUUGCAGCUCAACUGUAAAAUUGCCAUUGAAACUCUGGGUCUUGAGUGUAAAUGAGGUAGGCGGAAUGUGUUGUGUAGCGGUGAAAUGCUUAGAUAUAACACAGAACACCAAUUGCGAAGGCAGCUUACUAAGAUACAACUGACGCUGAGGCACGAAAGCGUGGGGAUCAAACAGGAUUAGAUACCCUGGUAGUCCACGCAGUAAACGAUGAAUACUAGCUGUAUGCGAUAUACUGUAUGUGGCAAAGCGAAAGCGUUAAGUAUUCCACCUGGGGAGUACGUUCGCAAGAAUGAAACUCAAAGGAAUUGACGG